rnacentral:rRNA from 1 species
ACACUAAAUAGGUUCUAUUAGAUAUUCUUAUUAUUUAUUUUUAAUUUUUAAGAAAAAAAAUUUUUAAUUAGUAAUUCAUUGAAUUUGUUUGUUUUUUAGUACUGUGGAGGAAAAUAAAAAUAUCCUUUUAGAAAAGAUUUAAUCUUGUACCUUUUGUAUCAGGGAAUUACAAUAAAAUUUAAAAUUAAAAUUUCCCGAAAUUAAUCGAGCUAAUUUUAUUUUACUUAAUAUAGCAUAAUAAAAGAAGAAAGUAAAAUUAGUGAUGAAACGUCAUUCGCGAUUAACGAUAUCUGGUUCCUUAAAUUUAACUUUAUGUAAUUUAUUUUAAAUAAAAUAUAUUAAUUAGGAUAAGCUAAUUAAUUUUUUACUCACAUUAUAAAUAAAUUAUUAUAGGAAUAAAAGUCUCUUGUAGUUUUAUAACUAAAUUUUUACUUGUAUAAAUUUAAAUUUAAAUUGGAAUAAUUAUAAACUAAAAAUUAUUUUUUUAAUGUUAUUAUUAGUAGAAUUAUAAUUUUAAAUUAAAAUAAAAUUUUAAUUUUAAUAAAAAUAUUUAAAUUAAGGUAAGGAACUAAAACCUAUUUAGCCUGUUUACCAAAAACAUGGUUUUUAGAUUGUUCAUUAAAAAUCUAACCUGCCCAAUGCUUAAGUCAAUGGCCGCGGUAUUUUAACUGUGCAAAGGUAGCAUAAUCAUUAGUCUUUUAAUUUGAGACUGGAAUGAAUGGUUUAACUAAUUAGAUUUGUCUCACCUUAAUAUUUUGAAUUUUAUAUUUUAGUAAAAAAGCUAAAAUUAAUUUUAAAGACGAGAAGACCCUAUCAAGCUUUAUAAUCAAUCUUUAUCCUCAAAAUAAAUUUAAAAUUAUUUUACUGGGGCAGUAAACAGAAGAUUUCUGUUUAAUUAUUGUGAAAUUUUUCCUUGUUAAAUCAAAAAAUUUUUAAAAAAGAAUAAGUUACUGUAGGGAUAACAGCAUAAUUUUUUUAAAGAGAUCUUAUCAUCAAAAAAGUUUGUGACCUCGAUGUUGGAUUAAGAUACCUAUUUCACGCAAUAGUAAAAUAAGGAAGUCUGUUCGACUAUUAAAAUCUUCCAUGAUCUGAGUUCAAACCGGUGUAAGCCAGGUUGGUUUUUAUCUUAAAUUUUAACAUUUUAUUUUAGUACGAAAGGACCAAAUAGAAGAAAAAUUUUCAAUUAAAACUAAAAAUUUUAAU